rnacentral:lncRNA from 1 species
GCAGGCGGCAGCCGAGGCGAGCGGGAGCGCGCAGAGCCGGCGCGCCCGUCCGUCUGCAACUUCGCUGGCGCGGUUAGGGGGAGCUUUCUCUCUCGCGCGCGCGGGGAAAGUGAGCCACGUGACUCCCGUGGUGGUUUUGCGGGGGGGAGGAGGGAGAGAAGGGGCGAGACGGAGAGAGAAAGGCAGGGCGAUGUGAAUGGGGCAGGAUCCCGGCUGCUGGAGGCACGAGCCGAGCCGAGCCGCCGAGCCCGCCGCUGCUUCAGUCCUAUGCGGCCGGCGCAGCAUCCUUGGAAGGCGGCGCCUGCAUCCGUGGCCGCGGAGGAGCGGGCGGCUUCGCGGAGCCCUGCCUGGGUCGCGGCCGGGCGCUGCGUGGGGCAGGGGGCGGCUCUCCCGCGCCGCCGCCUCGUCUUCUGGACCUCUUCUGCGGGGCCGGGCCGGGGGGCUCCCUCGGCCGGGGGGGCGGCCGAGAGCGGAGAAGGGCGCAGCGCGGCCGCCCAGCGCCAGCCGCCGCCUCCGGGCAGGGGUUUCCUUUGUGCCUCUGCCUCCUGAUGCUCGCCUCUCCUCUCCCCCCGGCGCGGCUCCUCAUCUCCGGCUGGACUCGGCUCCGGCCCCCGGCAAGCAGCAGCCCCCGGCCGGGGCGAGGAGGGGCGGGGGCGCUGCUUUCCCUUGUCCCCCGCCUCGCUGGAGGAGGAGGGGGCGGUGGAGGUGGUGGUGGCGAAGGCGGCGGCGGCGGCGGCUCCCUCCACUAGGCGCGCCGAUCCGUGCGCGCCGGCGGCUCAGAGCCGCUGUCCUGCUACCGCCCGGUCCGCGCCGGGCGGGUCGCGCUCACCCCGCGGAGUUUGCCAAGCCGAGCCGGACGCGGAAGGACGCCCCGGAAAACACGACCAGAGAGGGAGAACUCAAUAAAAUCACACCAGUAAAAAUCAGAAAACAACUUCCCGCUGUUGGGUCAAGAGCGCUGCCCGUGGGGAAGAGUUUCCCGUGUCUAUCAGGCCCGCUUUCUCCUGCUGCUCCUUCUCCUCCUGGGUCUUUCCCCCCCCCCAACCUCGUCCUCCUCCUCUUCCUCCUCCCCCCCCUUUAUAACGCGGCGGCUGUCUUCUAUCUGCAAGGAUGAAAAGAAGAAAAGCGCGCCCCUCUGUCGCGGGGAAAGAGUUUGCGCUCCCCCCCCGUCUCUGAGCCCCCCUGGANNNNNNNNNNNN